CGCCAACACGGAAGUGAUAGUCGCGCGGCGCUGAGAAGAGAGGAGCGUCUAGUUUGAAAAAACAAAAACACAGCACACGCUGCUGGGAUUCACUGAGUGGAACAGAGAGAUUCAAUGAACAGGACCUUGUACCAUGGACCCGCAGUUAUGAUAAUCCUCAUGCAAAGGAUCACCAUCCUAAAUUUUUAAAGGCAGCUAUUUUCAUGUAUA